AGUGAACGCUGGCGGCAGGCCUAAUACAUGCAAGUCGAACGGCAGCACAGUGGAGCUUGCUCCAUGGGUGGCGAGUGGCGGACGGGUGAGGAAUACAUGGGAAUCUGCCCAGUCGUGGGGGAUAACGUAGGGAAACUUACGCUAAUACCGCAUGCGCCCUUCGGGGGAAAGCCGGGGACCUUCGGGCCUGGCGCGAUUGGAUGAGCCCAUGUCGGAUUAGCUAGUUGGCGGGGUAAUGGCCCACCAAGGCGACGAUCCGUAGCUGGUCUGAGAGGAUGAUCAGCCACACUGGAACUGAGACACGGUCCAGACUCCUACGGGAGGCAGCAGUAGGGAAUAUUGGACAAUGGGCGCAAGCCUGAUCCAGCCAUGCCGCGUGAGUGAAGAAGGCCCUCGGGUUGUAAAGCUCUUUUGUACGGAACGAAAAGACUCUUUCUAAUAAAGAGGGUCCAUGACGGUACCGUAAGAAUAAGCACCGGCUAACUACGUGCCAGC
rnacentral:rRNA from 1 species